CGGGGUAUAGCAUAGUGGUAGUGUGCGUCCAUGGGGUGGAUGUGGCGCCGGUUCGAUUCCGGCUAUCCCGAC
rnacentral:tRNA from 1 species